rnacentral:rRNA from 1 species
UACGUAGGGGGCAAGCGUUGUCCGGAAUCAUUGGGCGUAAAGCGCGUGUAGGCGGCCAGAUAAGUCCGCUGUGAAAUCUCGAGGCUCAACUUCGAGCUGUCGGUGGAAACUGUCUGGCUAGAGUCCGGAAGAGGAGAAUGGAAUUCCUGGUGUAGCGGUGAAAUGCGCAGAUAUCAGGAGGAACACCUAUUGCGAAGGCAGCUCGCUGGGACGUUACUGACGCUGAGACGCGAAAGCGUGGGGAGCAAACAGG